rnacentral:rRNA from 1 species
AUGAACAGGCGCUUUGUCAAUCUGGUGAUGCAUAACUGGGUCGAAGGCGUUUAUUCGGUGCGCCGGAUCAAUCCUUACAAUCAUCUCUUCUACCCGUCAGCAAAGGCAGCACUUGAAGCAGCAGAUGAAGCAGCAAAGUAUAAGGAUUAUUUUCCAGUGAUGCAGUCCCUGCAGCUGCCGGACCCAGGCAUCAAGUUCACAGCAACUCCCUCUGGUGUCGGUCUUGAUAUGUUCGCGCUCUUCAACCCCCGCGGCACCAGCGAAGGCAGAAUUGUUUUUAGCAAUUCGAUCGGUGAGGCUGUGCUGUACGACGCCGACAAGCAGCUCUUCAACACCAUGGGUUGCCUCAACGAGCCUAAGGGAGCAGACCCCAUGUGCCUGCCCAUCGAGCACCCUGGCACCGACCAAGACAGCUUGUAUGUCCUGGACAGUUGCCCCUGGAAAGCUGAUAGUCGAUGCUUCGAGGUCCUUGAGUUCAUGCCCGAGUGCAGUGAGCUGAGCAACUUGAGGGCCACCUGGCGUUGGCGACUACUUCCACCGCCUCCUUUUGUCCGCCAACCUGGGUACAAACCUUCCUCUGUUCUCUCUUACACUACCACAGUCGACAGCUAUGGCUUUUCCACCAUCUACAUAUCAUGUGAGGGCAGCAUCGGCACAUACAGCUUUCAGACGGCACACCAUGACUCCAAGCACCGUCUAGGAUGGAGCCACUCGGAAGAAUGGAAGCACGCCGGGAAGUGGAAGCUGCCUUUUAAUGGCAGAGCUCAGUACAUCCCUGAGUUCAACCUGUGGUUUGGCUUCUCAGCCAUCUGGCCCAACAAUCUGUGUGCUGUGGACCUCUCUGCCAUGGUCCAUGAGCAAACACCCACUGAGCAGCAAGCUUGGCAAGACCUGAACCCACCUGAGGGAGUGGCGUGGAUUCCAAUACGCCGUGAGCUUCUCAACCUGGGCGAUGGCAAGUUUGUCAUCGCUAAGACCUUUAAAGCAGAAUCAACUGGUCAGCAGUUUGCUGUGCUCACCGGCGUAGAGAUGAUGCAUGGUGUCGGUGAUGAUCAGACCCUUCAGAUGGUCAAGCACAAGUGUGCACGUUAUGCCUUCACGACUGAUGCCAUCAAGUGGGUGCUCUGA